GGUCGAUUGUUAGGAUCUGUCCAUUUAGGUCCACCGAUUGCACCCAGUAAAAUAGCAUCUGCUCUUUUACACGCAUUUAAGGUUUUCUCAGUUAAAGGUUCGCCGAAUGUAUCAAUAGAGGCACCACCAAAUUCGUGGUGCUCUAUUUGAUAAUUAAAGUUAUAUUUAUUACUUAUAAUUUCAAGCAAUGAUAGAGAUCCGUUCAAAAUUUCUGGACCGAUUCCAUCACCAGGUAGGGCAACAAUGUUAUAAGUCAUAAUUAAUUACCUACCUUUUCAACAUUUUCAGCUGCAAAUUUAGCAUGUGCUUCUACGUAUGCUUUACAAGAGGCUUGUAAAAUAUCAUGAUCAAUACCAAAGCCAUUGACAGUCUUACCUUCAAUCA
rnacentral:sRNA from 1 species